CCUACGGGUGGCUGCAGUGGGGAAUAUUGGACAAUGGGCGAAAGCCUGAUCCAGCCAUGCCGCGUGUGUGAAGAAGGCCUUCGGGUUGUAAAGCACUUUCAGUGGGGAAGAAAGCCUUGGGGCUAAUACCCUCGAGGAAGGACAUCACCCACAGAAGAAGCACCGGCUAACUCCGUGCCAGCAGCCGCGGUAAUACGGAGGGUGCGAGCGUUAAUCGGAAUUACUGGGCGUAAAGCGCGCGUAGGCGGUCUGAUAAGCCGGUUGUGAAAGCCCCGGGCUCAACCUGGGAACGGCAUCCGGAACUGUCAGGCUAGAGUGCAGGAGAGGAAGGUGGAAUUCCCGGUGUAGCGGUGAAAGGGGUAGAGAUCGGGAGGAAUACCAGUGGCGAAGGCGGCCUUCUGGACUGACACUGACGCUGAGGUGCGAAAGCGUGGGUAGCAAACAGGAUUAGAUACCCCAGUAGU
rnacentral:rRNA from 1 species